rnacentral:rRNA from 1 species
ACGCUCGACACCUACGGGAGGCAGCAGUGGGGAAUAUUGCACAAUGGGGAAACCCUGAUGCAGCGACGCCGCGUGGAGGAAGAAGGUCUUCGGAUUGUAAACUCCUGUUGUUGGGGAAAAAGAGGAUGGUACCCAACAAGGAAGUGACGGCUAACUACGUGCUAGCAGCCGCGGUAAUCUGAGCGGGCUGGCAAGGC